UUGAACGCUGGCGGCAGGCUUAACACAUGCAAGUCGAGCGGUAACAGGAAUUAGCUUGCUAAUUUGCUGACGAGCGGCGGACGGGUGAGUAACGCGUAGGAAUCUGCCUGGUAGUGGGGGACAACAUGUGGAAACGCAUGCUAAUACCGCAUACGCCCUACGGGGGAAAGGAGGGGAUCUUCGGACCUUUCGCUAUCAGAUGAGCCUGCGUGAGAUUAGCUAGUUGGUGGGGUAAAGGCUCACCAAGGCGACGAUCUCUAGCUGGUCUGAGAGGAUGAUCAGCCACACUGGGACUGAGACACGGCCCAGACUCCUACGGGAGGCAGCAGUGGGGAAUAUUGCACAAUGGGCGCAAGCCUGAUGCAGCCAUGCCGCGUGUGUGAAGAAGGCCUUCGGGUUGUAAAGCACUUUCAGUAGGGAGGAAAGGUGCAAGAUUAAUACUCUUGUGCUGUGACGUUACCUACAGAAGAAGCACCGGCUAACUCCGU
rnacentral:rRNA from 1 species